GUCCCCUCGCACCGUCUUCCCGGGGCGACACCCUUUCCCUUUCCCACCCCGACACCAUUUCGUUUUCCUUUCGCUGCUGUGGGGGCGGUGUAGGGUUUGGGAGGGAGGGGGCAAAAUCGCGCCGGCGGCGGGGGAGAGCUUCGGCAGAGGAGUUCCCCGGCCGUGCGACAAGUGGCGGGACCGGCCGCCGACGCCGUGCUCCCGGUGUGCUUCCGCCAGCCUGCAGUUCUCCGUCUGCAUUGCCUCUGCUCUCUCCGUGGUCGUAACGAUUGCGUGUCUGUGCUCUCCUCCUCCACUGUUUCCGCUCCGGACGUUAGCUGCGUUCCUGGGGUCUCCAAGCCGUGUUCGGUGUUCGUGCUUCUGUCUGCACUGCUUCCACUGCAGUUGACUUUUGGAACCUAUGACAGCAUUCUUUUGGGUGUUCCAGCGUGAUGCACCACUUAUAGCAUUAAUCCAAAAUAUGGUUCGGAGGACGACUUUGUAUCAACUGUGCACACAAACUCUUUGAAACUAGCUUCAGAAUCAUCAUCAGCAUGCAGCAGCCAAGUCUCUCACCAGCCUGCUCCACUGAAGAUGGCGCUGCACAAGAACCUGCUGAACUCUCCAUGCUGGUUUCGCCUUUGUGUGUUUUGGUUGACCGAAAUUGCUGUUACAACUUACAACUGCAGUUCAUGACCUUUCUGGUCUGUACUAGCACAUAUUGCCCCAUCAUCACAGCUGUAGCUGUUGGAUGCGGCUAGGAAUUUGUGGAUGAACCUGUAGCCCAAUCGUAAAACUCUGUGUUGCCUAUGAUUCUUCUGACUGGAAAUCGUUUAUGAAGGCAGCAAUUUAUGCUAUGUUUUACACU